GAGCUUGAAAAUUGAUCUGUCAACAAUUAUUACAAAUAUCACACUGAGCUUUGAAAGUUCAUUCAGUACAUACAUAGCUAGAAUUCAACAUCAAAAUACAUGCAUCUUCACAAAUUUGACCAAAAGUUUACAGUUGCUCAUAUAGGUCAAUAUCACACCUACUUCCAGUAGCUAUAACAAAUAAUUCAUCUUGGGGUUUAUACAAGUUCAGAUCAAAGCAUCUGUCAGAAUUAUAAAAUUUCAGUGAAUUAAAUACUCAUAUGUGCAUAUAGACUGCAUAUGAAAAAGAGCACACUACUACCGACAAAGAAGAAAAUUCAAUGCAAAACUGAGACAGGCAACAUCAAUUCAAAAUAAGCAGCUAGCUAGUAAUAAUUAAAUGAUUAUGAAAUGAUGAUUGAUAUGUAACGAAGGUUCAUGUGAGUAGGCAAGUCACGAACUUAUAUCAAUGAACAGAGCAAUUAUAAUGCAAAGACAGGUUCUGCUAUAAAUCUAAAACUGUUGGCCUUCUCCUAUGAAUCUAACAAGUAAUUCAAAGCUGAAACUAAAAUGAGUUGGCUGUACUGCUACUCGCCACCAAUGUUGUGUUGCUUACCUGAGAUAGGGAUAGACACGAGCAGCUGCAACAAUGUCAUGGAUCUACAGGAAACAAACAAUAGAUAGCAUAAGCAAUUCAAAUCAGCAUUCAAUUCACCAGAUAUGCAACAAAGGUAAUAAAGUCCCUUUUGCUGGGGAUCACUCACUUCUUCUAUAAUUUCAGAAAUUACACAUUGGAUGUUGUGUAAGCUAUAUGAACAUGAAUACUAAAGUGCCACUUACUAUGUUGUUGCCUGAUCUCUUACUCAAAAUCUAUCACCUAAAUGUAUUGCUGCCUAUGUGUAGAUCCCAGAAUUUGGUUCAGUCAACAAUCCCAGGAUCAUUUAAAUACACAAAAUAACUUUUCAAGCAGAAUUAUACACUCUGCAGUUGAUGCGAAUUAAAGGUGAUGCUCCUAGGUGCCAUAUAAUAUAUAAUGGGAAGGUCAGAAGCACCUCUACGCCCUCCAAAUAUAGUAUUAACAACAUUAGUGUGCAUGUCUAAACUACAAAAGCAUGAACGGCAAUUUCACAAAAACCCUGCCCAUGCACCACCCGAAGGGCUCGCCCCUGAGCCACACAGACUGUCGGAGUCCCUGACCCGUAACACUGACACGGGCACAAUCAAAUGAAUGGUGUGGCAAGGCCGCGCCUAUUUUAUAGUAUGAACUAAGGCCUGAUACAAUUCAACAAUGGCGACACACAUGCAAAGGAAACAGGAACUGCAUAUAUUUACUAAUCAAGAGUGGCGCACAUAGAAAUAAAUAUGCAAUGUUAGACGUGUAUCUUUAGGAGCCAUUUGAGCUUCUCAAAACUCCCUCCUGAAUUGCAAACAGAGAAAGAUCAUUAUGUCAGGCGGCUGAAGAUGCAAAGGAGGAGACAAGAUAACUGGAAUGAACCACAGAAGGAUCUUAUCAUCCAACAUUGUUACAUGGAAGGUACUUAUUAACAAUAAUUCUCAGUCUAUUGUUGACCCAAAGUUAACACCGAAAUCAGAACCCUAAAAACACCAUUACUAAAUCUACCUCAUGCCCAAAUCAACCAUGGCUAAUAUUGACAAUAACCUUACAGAUCAAAGAGACUCGUCGCGAAACCUUCUCACAAUUAACAGCAAAAGCUUUCCAUAAGAGCAGAUACACGAAAUCUAUAGGUGAAAGAGAGCCUCACGGUGAAACAAAGCCUGACAUGCGAGCUACACUUCGAGAGACAACUGCCACCAGCAAACCAAUAGAGAACAGAUCCGAGCGCUUCCAUGACUGAGCCAGCGCUACCCAACAUAUAUAACGACCGAACGAAACAGGGUGGGAGGGUGAGGAAGAGGAGAACCUGGACGGAGUCGCAUGUCAGAUUUGGCAGAUCCGGGGCGGGAGUUCGUCAUAGGUGGUCCUCCAACAGAUCGAGAUGUGGACAGGGGAAACUCCCUCCCAGCCGACCGAGGAUGACGACAACUGGCGUUAGAGGCGAGCGGCCGGUGGCGGCAGCAGGUUUGGAGACGGGCGGGCAGGCGUCGGCGCGGUGGCGGUGUGGAGGCAGCGCGUGUGAAUGUCAUAGCAGGAUGUGGAGGGUCGCCGGCGGGGGCGGGGGGCGGGGGUGGCGAGGAUUGGAGAGGGCGCUGCCGGGGU
rnacentral:lncRNA from 1 species